GGGCCAGUAGCUCCAAUGGUAGAGCAGCGGAUUCCAACUCCGUUUGUUGCAGGUUCGACUCCUGUCUGGCUCG
rnacentral:tRNA from 1 species